rnacentral:rRNA from 1 species
AAGGAAUUGACGGGGGCUCGCACAAGCGGUGGAGCAUCUGGCUUAAUUCGACAACAAGCGAAGAACCUUACCAGGCCUUGACAUCCCGCGAAUCCCGCCGAAAGGUGGGAGUGCCCGCAAGGGAGCGCGGAGACAGGUGCUGCAUGGUCGUCGUCAGCUCGUACCGUGAGGCGUUGGGUUAAGUCCCGGAACGAGCGCAACCCUCGUCCUCUGUUUCAUGUGUCAGAGGAGACUGCCUUGGUUAACAGGGAGGAAGGUGGGGAUGACGUCAGAUCAGCAUGGCUUUUACGGUCUGGGCGGCACAGGUGCUACAAUGGCUGGCAUAAAGGGUUGCGAAGUGGUAACGCGGAGCUAAUCCCAUCAAAACCAGCCCCAGUUCGGAUUGUGGUCUGCAACUCGACCACAUGAAGCUGGAAUCGCUAGUAACCGUGGGUCAGCCAUACCACGGUGAAUACGUUCUCGAGCCUUGUACACACCGCCCGUCAAGUGAGCCGAGUCGGCAAUACCCGAAAUCUUGCUUUUUGCGGGAUGAAGGUAGGGUCGGCGAGGAGCGCUAAGUCGUAACAAGGUAUCCGUAGGGGAAUCUGCGGAUGGAAUACCUCCUUUCUA